rnacentral:tRNA from 1 species
UGGGAUUUAGCUCAGUGGUAGAGCGCUUGCCUAGCAAGCGUGAGGCCCUAGGUUCGAUCCUCAGCUCCAG